rnacentral:misc_RNA from 1 species
UUUCCGUAGGUGAACCUGCGGAAGGAUCAUUAUUGAAACUUCAUCCGGGGCGCCGCGGCCCUCAGCACCGGUGGAAACGCCGUGCUGCGGGGGCCGCGCGUGCACUCGUCCAAACCAAACCCCUGUGAACCUUACCUCUUGCCGCGUUGUCUCGGCGGGAGGCGGUGUGCGUCGCGCGCCCUAGCGGGCCGCGCCGCUCCCGUCCCCGCCGGCAGCGCCAAACUCUAAAUGCACAGCGGACUGUACGUUCUGAUUUACAAAAAAAACAAGUUAAAACUUUCAACAACGGAUCUCUUGGUUCUG